rnacentral:rRNA from 1 species
UUUCUCCUAGCACAAGUUUAUAUCAGAACGGAUGCCCACUGAUAGUUAACAACAAGAUAAACAUAACUAAAAAUAAAAACCUUAUCAAAAAAACUGUAACCCAACACAGGUGUGCUAUGAUUUAAAGGAAAGAUUAAAAGAAGUAAAAGGAACUCGGCAAACACAAACCCCGCCUGUUUACCAAAAACAUCACCUCUAGCAUUUAUAGUAUUAGAGGCACUGCCUGCCCAGUGACAUUAGUUAAACGGCCGCGGUAUCCUGACCGUGCAAAGGUAGCAUAAUCAUUUGUUCUCUAAUUAAGGACUUGUAUGAAUGGCCACACGAGGGUUUUACUGUCUCUUACUUCCAAUCAGUGAAAUUGACCUUCCCGUGAAGAGGCGGGAAUAAAAAAAUAAGACGAGAAGACCCUAUGGAGCUUUAAUUAACUAGCUUAAGUAAACAGCACAUUAACCCGCUUAAGGAAUAAAAAUCUUACCUAGUAAGCUAGCAAUUUCGGUUGGGGUGACCUCGGAGCAUAAAACAACCUCCGAGUGAUUUUAGAUGAGACCUACAAGUCGAAUCCUAAGUCAUAAUUGAUCCAAUAAUAAUAAUAAUUGAUCAACGGAACAAGUUACCCUAGGGAUAACAGCGCAAUCCUAUUUGAGAGUCCUUAUCGACAAUAGGGUUUACGACCUCGAUGUUGGAUCAGGACAUCCCAAUGGUGCAGCCGCUAUUAAUGGUUCGUUU